rnacentral:rRNA from 1 species
GAUGAACGCUGGCGGCGUGCUCAACACAUGCAAGUCGAACGAUGAAGCCCAGCUUGCUGGGUGGAUUAGUGGCGAACGGGUGAGUAACACGUGAGUAACCUGCCCUUAACUCUGGGAUAAGCCUGGGAAACUGGGUCUAAUACCGGAUAGGAGCGCCUACCGCAUGGUGGGUGUUGGAAAGAUUUAUCGGUUUUGGAUGGACUCGCGGCCUAUCAGCUUGUUGGUGAGGUAAUGGCUCACCAAGGCGACGACGGGUAGCCGGCCUGAGAGGGUGACCGGCCACACUGGGACUGAGACACGGCCCAGACUCCUACGGGAGGCAGCAGUGGGGAAUAUUGCACAAUGGGCGAAAGCCUGAUGCAGCGACGCCGCGUGAGGGAUGACGGCCUUCGGGUUGUAAACCUCUUUCAGUAGGGAAGAAGCGAAAGUGACGGUACCUGCAGAAGAAGCACCGGCUAACUACGUG